ACGAACGCUGGCGGCGUGCCUAAUACAUGCAAGUAGAACGCUGAAGAGAGGAGCUUGCUCUUCUUGGAUGAGUUGCGAACGGGUGAGUAACGCGUAGGUAACCUGCCUUGUAGCGGGGGAUAACUAUUGGAAACGAUAGCUAAUACCGCAUAACAAUGGAUGACACAUGUCAUUUAUUUGAAAGGGGCAAUUGCUCCACUACAAGAUGGACCUGCGUUGUAUUAGCUAGUAGGUGAGGUAACGGCUCACCUAGGCGACGAUACAUAGCCGACCUGAGAGGGUGAUCGGCCACACUGGGACUGAGACACGGCCCAGACUCCUACGGGAGGCAGCAGUAGGGAAUCUUCGGCAAUGGGGGCAACCCUGACCGAGCAACGCCGCGUGAGUGAAGAAGGUUUUCGGAUCGUAAAGCUCUGUUGUAAGUCAAGAACGAGUGUGAGAGUGGAAAGUUCACACUGUGACGGUAGCUUACCAGAAAGGGACGGCUAACUACGUGCCAGCAGCCGCGGUAAUACGUAGGUCCCGAGCGUUGUCCGGAUUUAUUGGGCGUAAAGCGAGCGCAGGCGGUUUGAUAAGUCUGAAGUUAAAGGCUGUGGCUCAACCAUAGUUCGCUUUGGAAACUGUCAAACUUGAGUGCAGAAGGGGAGAGUGGAAUUCCAUGUGUAGCGGUGAAAUGCGUAGAUAUAUGGAGGAACACCGGUGGCGAAAGCGGCUCUCUGGUCUGUAACUGACGCUGAGGCUCGAAAGCGUGGGGAGCGAACAGGAUUAGAUACCCUGGUAGUCCACGCCGUAAACGAUGAGUGCUAGGUGUUGGAUCCUUUCCGGGAUUCAGUGCCGCAGCUAACGCAUUAAGCACUCCGCCUGGGGAGUACGACCGCAAGGUUGAAACUCAAAGGAAUUGACGGGGGCCCGCACAAGCGGUGGAGCAUGUGGUUUAAUUCGAAGCAACGCGAAGAACCUUACCAGGUCUUGACAUCCCGAUGCUAUUUCUAGAGAUAGAAAGUUACUUCGGUACAUCGGUGACAGGUGGUGCAUGGUUGUCGUCAGCUCGUGUCGUGAGAUGUUGGGUUAAGUCUCGCAACGAGCGCAACCCCUAUUGUUAGUUGCCAUCAUUCAGUUGGGCACUCUAGCGAGACUGCCGGUAAUAAACCGGAGGAAGGUGGGGAUGACGUCAAAUCAUCAUGCCCCUUAUGACCUGGGCUACACACGUGCUACAAUGGUUGGUACAACGAGUUGCGAGUCGGUGACGGCAAGCUAAUCUCUUAAAGCCAAUCUCAGUUCGGAUUGUAGGCUGCAACUCGCCUACAUGAAGUCGGAAUCGCUAGUAAUCGCGGAUCAGCACGCCGCGGUGAAUACGUUCCCGGGCCUUGUACACACCGCCCGUCACACCACGAGAGUUUGUAACACCCGAAGUCGGUGAGGUAACCUUUUGGAGCCAGCCGCCUAAGGUGGGAUAGAUGAUUGGGGUG
rnacentral:rRNA from 1 species